rnacentral:rRNA from 1 species
CUGGCGGCGUGCCUAACACAUGCAAGUCGAACGAGAAAGCGGGGGCAACUCCGCGAGUAAAGUGGCGACCGGGUGAGUAACACGUGACUAACCUACCCUCGAGCGGGGGAUAACCCCGGGAAACCGGGGCUAAUACCGCAUAACGUCUUCGAUGCGAAAGUAUUGAGGAUCAAAGGAGCAAUUCACUUGAGGAGGGGGUCGCGGCCGAUUAGCUAGUUGGCGGGGUAACGGCCCACCAAGGCUGAGAUCGGUAGCCGGCCUGAGAGGGCGCACGGCCACACUGGAACUGAAACACGGUCCAGACUCCUACGGGAGGCAGCAGUGGGGAAUUUUGCGCAAUGGGGGGAACCCUGACGCAGCAACGCCGCGUGGAGGAUGAAGUCCCUUGGGACGUAAACUCCUUUCGACCGGGAAGAUAAUGACGGUACCGGAAGAAGAAGCACCGGCUAACUCU